rnacentral:piRNA from 1 species
UCCUGCUAGGUCAUUUUUUAA